UCGGGUAUUAAAGGAAAUUUGCUCGUUUGCUAGCAAAGGUAGAAGCAACUUUGAGGGUGCGUUUGGGAUUCAGGUGGUGUAGCUUUUAAGCUACAGUUGCUGUGAAAAAAAAACGGUAAUUAUGAAAUAAAAGUUAAUAAUAUAUAGUAAAUAUAAAUUUUAAAUAAUAAUUUUAUCAAAAUUAUUAAAGAUAUAAUAAAUUUUAUAUUAUACAAGUGAAAAAAUAAAUUUUAUAUUAUACAAUAAAUUUUAUAUUAUACAAGUGAAAAAUUAUAUCAAUAUAACUUAAAAGCUACAGCAGCUAGUGUUUACCAAACACUUUAGUGCUGUAGCUUUUAAGCUACAGCUGCCCAACCUCAAUCCCAAACGCACCCUGAGUUGAAAAUUUGCUCUUUCUCUAGCCUAAAUUACAAUUGGUAUUAUUGUAAUACGACAAUUAAAAAUUACUUUUACACACACACAAAUAUUAAAAGUCGACUUAUAUUUAUAUAUGAAAAUAGAUAGAUCAAAUAAAUUAUGAUAGUCUCAAUUUCUACUUUCAUAAAUAUUAAAACAAAAGUCUUUAUUUUGCCUACUAACCACAGGAAAAAAAAAAUACCUAACUUCCCUGAAUUUUAAAUUAGAAAAAGAAAUGUUGAGUCUGUUAGCAGGACUCCAAGCAUCCGCCUAAUACCAGGAGCCGAGUGGACAAUUACUUUUAAAAUAUUUUCCCCAAAAAAAAAUAUUACUUGAAGAAGCCUAUCCGAGUAGACGGCUUCAACUUGACAUCUUACAAUAGGAGGUUGCUAUGUUACAGAUUUUGUAACAUACGCACCCAAUGCAUGCACUACACCUGUCCUGCAUAUGGAGAAAAAACAUGCAACUAUUUUUAUUUAGUUGCUAGCUACCCAAUCAGAAGCUGGCUAAGUUGGAUCUGUAUGUUACAGAAUCUGUAACUUAGCCAGCUCCCUUACAAUAACUCGUAACAAAUAUCUGAUUGAAAAAUGUGCACUUUAGAGAAACACGGCGACGUUUUUGUCCUAACCUUAACCGGUUCCUCCGACGUUGACGAACACCGGUUCGGUCCAUCCGCAAUCGACUCGAUCCUCUCGGCUAUUGCCAAAGCCAAAGCCGAAGCAACUCCCGGCUCCGCUCUUAUUACCACUUCUCAUGGCAAAUUCUUCUCCAACGGCCUCGAC
rnacentral:lncRNA from 1 species